UGUCAGUGACACGGAAGCUGCCUCCUGUAGAGAGAGAUGGCACUGGCUGCAGCUAGGGGGAGCUCCAGAGCACAGCUCCUCCCGGGCCCUUAGUAAGCCAGCCGAGGGAAGCUCAGAACUCUCUGCUCCUCCAUGCUCUGGAUGAUAGCCAAAGACAGCUGAAUCCCGCCCUGCCAGUUUUUGUGCGCCCUGCCGCCCCGCCGUUUGCUGCCUGCCGGACCCCUCCACGUCGGCCAGCCGUGCGCCGCCAGACCCGGUUCCAGCUCCUGUCUCCAGACUUCUGCUAUAGAGACCCGCACCAACAUUCCAUCUGCAGUGUAGCCUGACUCUCCGAUCCAUUCUGGACUCACCUGUUUCCAGUUUCAUCAAUCACCUGCUUCCAGCUCAGCUUCCAGCAGUGUACAGCUUCUCUUAAAGGGCCGGUGUCCUUUCUGCAGUUUACCACUCUCCACCGGUAUUAUUAUUUCACCGCUCUCAAACUCCAAACUUCAUCAAUCACCUGCUUCCAGCUCAGCUUCCAGCAGUGUACAGCUUCUCUUAAAGGGCCGGUGUCCUUUCUGCAGUUUACCACUCUCCACCGGUAUUAUUAUUUCACCGCUCUCAAACUCCAAACUUCAUUAUUAUUUCAUCGCUCUCAAGUUCGUUUAUUAUUUAACUGGUUCCACCCAGUAUCCACUCCGUACCAACAACAGUCUGGUUCCAGCCAGUAUCCACAGCAGCCGUUUUUUCUUCAGCAACCCAGCCUUUCCUGGAACACCAGCUGGUACGAUCCUGGGUUCUCUCCAUUGCUACAGUCAGGCCUGGUAAGGACUUUCCAACUAGAAGAUUAUAAGAACUGUCUCACUCUACCAGUGCCUGUGGCCCUUGCCACCCUGUAGUACCCAGGAAUUGUAUUUAUCCUCUGUUGACUUUUAUGUUUCCUUUACUGCUGCUGUGUUACGGAGUUUGUCUUA